rnacentral:misc_RNA from 1 species
AUCAUUACCGAGAGUCCGCGCCAUAGGCGAUCUAGGCUCUGCCUCUGGUCGCGGUGCGCGGCUCACACCUUACCCUUGCUUAUGCGCACCUUUUUGUUGUUUCCUCGGCGGGUCCGCCCGCCGACGGGAAGCCCAUCAAACCCUUUGCAUCAGCAUGAAAACCUCUGAGCAAAACCUAAAUAUUUACAACUUUCAACAAUGGAUCUCUUGGUUCUGGCAUCGAUGAAGAACG